rnacentral:lncRNA from 1 species
GAACAAAUUUUAUUAGGCAACUGAUUAGAAAGCAAGUUUUUAUAGUAAGAGAUUUAUGAUUUUUUUAUAACUGUUUAAUAAAGUUUAUAAAAAUAUAUAUAUAUACGGAUAUCCAUAGUCGAUCUAGACCGACCUGUACCCGAUCCAUACUCGGUCUUAAGCGAGUAGUAUACGGAUAGUGACCACCUAGACCCGCNAUAUUUUUAUAUAUAUAUAUAUAUAUAUAUAUAUAUAUAUAUAUAUAUAUAUAUAUAUAUAUAUAUAUAUACGGAUAUCCAUAGUUGAUCUAGACCGACCUGUACCCGAUCCAUACUCGGUCUUAAGCGAGUAGUAUACGGAUAGUGACCACCUAGACCCGCUGAAAUAGGCCCGAUCGAUAUAUUAUUAAUUUAAGUACCAAGACCCGAAUCCGAUUCGAAAUUAAAUGGAUAGAGUACGAAUACAGUAUACCCGACCCGAUUGAUGUAUUAUUAAUUUAAGUAUCAAGACCCAAACCCGUUUCGAAAUUAAAUGUAUAUAUUUUCUUUUUCUAUCCAUUUCGUUUUAGGGUACGAAUACAGUAUACCCGCCCCCCUCUACAGACACCUUUUUUUUUUGAGAGAGAGAAAAAUAGCAUGUUACCUGUUUUGUUUAUUUUAUUUAAAAAUAAAUUUAACUGAAAAUAUGAAUCAACUAGAAUUCGAACUAAGAUCUUGAAUACCAACCAUCAAAUUUUUUUACCACUUGCGUGGG